rnacentral:rRNA from 1 species
GAUGAACGCUAGCGGCAGGCUUAAUACAUGCAAGUCGUGGGGCAGCAUGACUGUAGCAAUACAGUUGAUGGCGACCGGCAAACGGGUGCGGAACACGUACGCAACCUACCCAAAACUGGGGAAUAGCCCGGGGAAACCCGGAUUAAUACCUCGUAACAUAAUAAAGUGGCAUCACUAUAUUAUUAUAGCUCCGGCGGUUUUGGAUGGGCGUGCGCCUGAUUAGGUAGUUGGCGGGGUAACGGCCCACCAAGCCUUCGAUCAGUAACUGGUGUGAGAGCACGACCAGUCACACGGGCACUGAGACACGGGCCCGACUCCUACGGGAGGCAGCAGUAAGGAAUAUUGGUCAAUGGACGCAAGUCUGAACCAGCCAUGCCGCGUGGAGGAUGAAGGUCCUCUGGAUUGUAAACUUCUUUUAUCUGGGAAGAAAUCCAUUUUUUCUAAAGUGGUUGACGGUACCAGAUGAAUAAGCACCGGCUAACUCCGUGCCAGCAGCCGCGGUAAUCGGGA